GGCGGUGCUGCCGCCUUGUGGCCACGGAGCGGUGCUGUGGACAGAGGGCGCGGUGAAGGAGAGCCCGGAGUGCAAAGGGACGUGGCCGGGCUUGAGCGGCCGCCCUGCGAGGCGGUGGCUGAGAAGAAUGACAGCGGCGGGGUCGCAGCAGAGCUGCCAUUUCAAGAUAGCGAAGCGCCCGCGUACCGGGACCCUGCAUGAGCCGGGUCGGGCUCCAGCCACACUCAAGAUGGCGGCUGCGGCAGGACUCCGGCAGAGGCGUCGCCGCCGCUCCCUGCCGCCACUCGCGCGGCUCCGGUGCCGCUGACCCCGCCAACCGUUUUCUCCCGUCGGGAAAGGCAGGAGAAAACGCGCUAAGAGCGCGGGAUCGGCAUCGAGGCCGGGUUGAGGCAGCCCACUAGAUAAACGCCUGCGUGAGGAGCGGGGGGCCUUAAAGGUACCACAACACGGAUGGCGGCUCGGCCGGAAAUGGCUUCUGCAAGUACCAAAGACUGCGGCGAAGAAAUGCAGGAGAAAUGGCUGCUGGCUCCUGGCAGCCUGGGCUUGCAAGGCAGGUUUUGUACUUGAUUGCAAGGCAGUUUUUCUGCCCCUGCAGGGGGUGGCACCUGCAUCCCACUGGAAAGGGAAGAGAAAAGAAGUCACCUUACGCCACACCCAAGAUGGCGGCACAGCGAGCCACUCACUUGCCCUUCCAAGGAUGGCGACAGUCAUGCGCCUUGAGCAGAUUGCUGAGCACUGGGGAGAAUAUUUGGGAUAAAGAAAUGAAAGGCACAAAGGAAGCUUCACACUCCCGAGGGAAUGCUUUAGGCACGUGCUUCUGAACCUCACCAAUAAUCCUGGCUGCCACAGAAACCUUCUGAAGCUGGAAGGGACAGGGAAGACAAUUCCAGGAGCUGUGGGAAGUGCUUUCUCCUGAUUCUGGAUGGCAUUGAGGUCAGAACGAGUUCCACAUUAUCCUUGUGCCUCUUCUGUUGCCAGUCCAGGACUAAGUUGGUGUUCCAUGAGUGGCUGCAGCUGCCUGAGAGUGGACAGAAGAAGCCUGUGCUGGAGAAUGGGAGAAAGGUCCCUGCUGGUUUCUGUGUCCUCGGUGGGCACAGAACUCUGGCCAGAUGGGUUGGACAGGGAAAACCACUGAACUUGUCCUGGCCUUGCCAAGAGCUUUGGUGUUUGAGCUGCCAAAACUAAACUGGUCCUGUCCUGAUGCUGGAACUGUCUCUCUGGAUAUGUGCUGAGCUCUUGCUGCUGUGAACUGUGUGGACUUAAUUGCUACAGGGUUCUGUUCUUCUCACUGGGGAAUUGGAAAUAAUUAUUAAUUAGAAGGCAGAGAUGUUUUCAGAAAUCUCUCACUUUUUUUCUGCCUUUUAGUGGUAGAUCUCCUCUUUCUGCCUCUGAAUUUACACAGCGAUUCUCAGAUGUCAUUUCACCUGCCCAAAUCCCUCACAGCUCAGGGGGGUGCAGGGAAGGUGGUAUUGUGUGUGUAGGUAUGUAACCACUUAGCAGAUAAUCUCAGAUUCUCUAAAGCCAGCCAUUCAUUUUAAAACAAGGACCAAACUCCUGCUGCCGGGAAGCUGUGAUCAGUUUAUAACUUAGCUUUAGCUCAGAGAUACUGGAUUUGUGUAAAUCAGAAUAGCCCCAACUUCCUUGCAACCCAGAGCAUCAGUGUCACCUGACUGAGCUUCUCUGCCACUGCCACCACAGGGUGACUGUCCCCACCCUGGACAAGCAGUGCAUCAAUAAGGCAGUGAAAGGUGAAGUGAUAGAAAUCAAUCUGCCUCUCAUUAGUGGGAUGAAUAGAAGUGUGCUGGGGUCAAUGAGGGGGUGAGGAGAUGUGUUAAGAGCUGGUUAAAAGAGAGAUAAGAGAAGGAUGUUAGUACUUUUUUGUCAGAUGGUUAGGAAUAAGCUUUGGAGGAUUUUUGGAUAAAGGUGUCUCAAGUGAACAGUGUCAGGUACACUCUGAGUACAAACACUGCUCAGUAAAAGGAGCUCGGGGAAAAGUUCUGUGUGAGGCAGGUGCCUUUAUGUGUUUAGAGAUUUCAGAGAGUUUUCAAAUAAGAACCACACAUUUUCCUAAAAUGAGCAUGGGUGUUUGUAGUUGCACUGGAACUGAGCUGCUGAAGACACACAAAUAUUUUGUAGCCGUAAGAUAUGUGUGUAUUUAUGUUUGCCUGUGCUCAGGCACACACAAGCCCACACAAAGGACACUUGUACAUAUUUAUUUUCCUUUUUCCUACUAGAUAGCAUAUUCAUUGCUGUAUUUGUAGCCCAAAUUAAUCACAAGAAGGAAAAAGCAAUUUGCCUUGUAAGCAGAAAUAGAGAUGAGGAAAUGUUUCACUCUGGAUGCAGUGAGAAGUGUGGUAUUGGAGCAGUUCUGGAGCAGGCAGUGUGGACAAAAGAAGGGGUCUUUUCCCAGGCCUGAGCACCUUGCAUUUCUCAACAAAAAUAUGGCAUUGCUGCUUCAGGGACUGGGGCCAGCUCAUUGCAAUGCAGCACUCCAGAGGGAGGCAAGGCAAUUUGCCAUGACACCUUUUCCAUCUUGCUGCCUCGCUCACUGCUGCAGUUACAGAUGGCCAACAUUUGUGUCUUAAACAUUUAUCCUGCAAAAUAGAGACUUUUGUAUAAAAAGUAUUUGGUGCACCAAAAUAUUUCCCUUAGAUUUAAAUUUUCAUCUUGUUUCAAUCUUCAGAAAACAUUUUGAGAUUUCAGAUGUUGUUUUUUCUCCUUUUUGUCACCUUCCUUCUGUCUCACACUCUGUUUUCUGAACACAGCAGAUAUUUGCCAAGGUUGAAGGAUUUGGUGGGAGGGUCAUUUUCUCCUUUUUGUUCCUGCUUAUUUUAUUAUUUUUCCAAUUAUUUAAGGCUUUACCUAUAUUGUUAGUGUAGUGCAUUAAAAGUUUGGCUAGCACAGGAUCUCAGCCUCCAUCACACCUCUCAGUGAAAUAAGUACAAGAUAAAAGAUUGUAUUAGAAUAAUCUUUUUUUCUCCUUUACCUGAAGUUUGUAAAAUUACCAAAUAGAUGUAAAAAUAGAUAAGCAUUUCUUAAAAUUUUGGCAUUGAGGUUUUCCAUGCAGUCAGUGGCAGAUGGAAACUAUUACUGGGAAAGAAACAGAAGUGAAAAAUUUUACAAAUAUUUUGGAUGAAGGAAUACAAUUAAUCUCAGUUUGAACUCUGAAAUAUAAACAAACUUAUAACUUCAAAAUUAAAUGAGUAUUUAGAAAA